AUGGAGAUUCCACCUGGUUUCUCAAAGCCUGAGAUAUCAAGAAAGGUAUGCAAGUUAAGGAAGUCUUUGUAUGGCCUCAAACAGUCUCCACGAGCAUGGUUUGAUAGAUUCAGACGUGCUGUGUGCAAUAUGGGAUAUAAACAGUGCAAUGGGGAUCAUACAGUAUUCUACCGGCACUCAAAUUGUCAGAUUACAAUCCUUGCGGUGUAUGUGGAUGAUAUUAUAAUCACCGGAGAUGAUGAUGUGGAAAUAUCACGACUGAAGAAGAGCCUGAGCAAGGAGUUUGAGGUAAAGGAUUUAGGCCAACUGAAGUACUUCCUUGGUAUAGAAAUUGCUAGAUCCCCUAAAGGAAUUGUUCUGUCACAACGGAAGUAUGCUCUCGACUUGCUUAGUGACACAGGCAUGCUUGGGUGUAGGCCUGCUUCAACACCUAUUGACCAGAAUCAUAAGUUAUGUGCUGAAUCUGGGGAACCAGUGGAUAAGGAGAAGUACCAGAGACUUGUUGGAAGGCUCAUCUACCUAUGUCAUACACGACCCGAUAUCUCAUAUGCAGUGAGUGUGGUGAGCAGAUACAUGCAUGAUCCUAGGAGUGGACACUUAGAGGCUGUCUAUCGAAUCCUCCGAUAUCUGAAGGGUAAUCCAGGAAGGGGGCUAUGGUUUAAGAAGAAUGGGCAUCUUAAUAUAGAUGGAUACUGUGAUGCAGACUGGGGAAGUUGUUUGGAUGACAGAAGAUCAACUUCUGGUUAUUGUGUGUUUGUUGGGGGAAACUUGGUGUCAUGGCGAAGUAAGAAGCAGCCAGUGGUGUCCAAAUCAACAGCUGAAGCUGAAUAUAGAGCUAUUUCACAAGGCUUGAGUGAGAUGUUAUGGGUAAGAAAUCUUCUCUCUGAGUUAAAGGUAAUAAGGAAGGAUCCCCUAAGGUUAUGGUGUGAUAAUAAAUCAGCUAUCAGCAUUGCUAAUAAUCCAGUUCAGCAUGACAGAACCAAGCAUGUCGAGAUAGACCGCUUCUUCAUCAAGGAGAAGUUAGAUGAUGGCAUAAUCAGGAUAAGUUAUGUGAGCUCUAGAGAACAAGUGGCUGAUUGUUUAACUAAGGGUUUAAGUGUCAAGGAGUGUAAUUCUGCGUGUGACAAGAUGGGAAUGAUAGAUAUCUAUCACCCAUCUUGA
rnacentral:rRNA from 1 species